rnacentral:lncRNA from 1 species
CAGGAGGGGGGAGGGUCGGGAGUGGGAAGAGAGGAGCGCUGUUCUGCUUCUCCAGAUGAAACCUCACAGACGUAGCAACUUCGUGGGCUAGAGAACAAGCAAUUUUCUUGCCUCAACUUUUUUGGUAAUAACUUUGAAGAUAUGGUCCUGGUGACUUCAGAAGAUUCAGCGAAAGGAUCUUGGGAGACCUCAAUCUGAAUGAAAACGGAAGAGGUGGCCUUCUUGGUGUGGAGAGUGGUCUACUUGUGGAGCUAGGAGGAUGAAGGAAUCUCUUGUCUCUAACCCCAAGGAACAGUAUUAGCAAAACACCUUUGUUUAGAAUGAGAUGAAUGCUGUCACAAUUUGGAAGAAAUCUCCCCAGUAGUUUCUGGGAUGUAAUGCAAAAGAGCUAAGGAACAAUGAAUUACACAGGGAAAAUUUGAAUCCAAGCAAGAGAGGAGGAAGAGAUUGGAUCCAUGAGUCUGGCCUUUCUCCUUUUCUCAGAGAGGUGGUACUAGAAUUCCAUUAUAUCUCUUUUAUCUCCUAACUAUUAUUAGCUUAGAGAAAAUGAUUUUUCUGGUCACUAUCCUAACAUUUCAAGAGUUCCUCAAGUUAUAUUUAAAGAUUUGAC